GUGUUCACUUUGGCAGUACAUAUACUAAAACUGGAAUGAUAGAGAAGAUUAGCAUGGUCCGUGUGCAAAGAUGACACACAAAUUCGUGAAUCAGUCCAUAUUUUU
ensembl:snRNA U6 U6 spliceosomal RNA